rnacentral:rRNA from 1 species
AUUUUCGAUGACCGCUAGCGGGAAUGUUUUACACAUGCAAGUCGAACGGCAGCACGAGAUAAGCUUGCUUAUCUUGGUGGCGAGUGGCGAACGGGUGAGUAAUGUAUCGGAACGUGCCCAGUAGCGGGGGAUAACUACGCGAAAGCGUGGCUAAUACCGCAUACGCCCUACGGGGGAAAGGGGGGGAUCCUUCGGGACCUCUCACUAUUGGAGCGGCCGAUAUCAGAUUAGCUAUUUGGUGGGGUAAUGGCCUACCAAGGCCGCGAUCUGUAGCUGGUUUGAGAGGACGACCAGCCACACUGGGACUGAGACACGGCCCAGACUCCUACGGGAGGCAGCAGUGGGGAAUUUUGGACAAUGGGGGCAACCCUGAUCCAGCCAUCCCGCGUGUGCGAUGAAGGCCUUCGGGUUGUAAAGCACUUUUGGCAGGGAAGAAAAGGCACGGGCUAAUAUCCUGUGUCGCUGACGGUACCUGCAGAAUAAGCACCGGCUAACUACGUGCCAGCAGCCCGCGGUAAUACGUAGGGUGCAAGCGUUAAUCGGAAUUACUGGGCGUAAAAGGGUGC